GACGAACGCUGGCGGCGUGGAUUAGGCAUGCAAGUCGAACGGUAUCAUCCUUUCGGGGGUGAGAGAGUGGCGAACUGGUGAGUAACACGUAGGUUAUCUACCCUCAAGACGGGGACAACCCAGGGAAACUUGGGCUAAUACCGGAUGUGAGCAACUUUUAGUUGUUUGAAAGGUGGCGUAAGCUGUCGCUUGGGGAUGAGCCUGCGUCCUAUUAGUUAGUUGGUGAGGUAACGGCUCACCUAGGCAAUGAUAGGUAGGCGGCCUUAACGGGUGGUCGCCCACACUGGGAUUGAGAUACGGCCCAGACUCCUACGGGAGGCAGCAGUCGAGAAUAGUCUACAAUGGUCGGAAGACUGAUAGUGCGACGCCGCGUGAACGAUGAAUCCCUUCGGGGUUAAAGUUCUUUUAUAUGUGAGCAGUGCUUCUUAUAUUAACAGUAUGGGGAGAGAGAUAUUAGCAUAUGAAUAAGCAACGGCUAACUCCGUGCCAGCAGCCGACGGUAAA
rnacentral:rRNA from 1 species